UGCCAGCCGCCGCGGUAAUACGGGGGAUGCAAGCGUUAUCCGGAAUCAUUGGGCGUAAAGCGUGCGUAGGCGGUUUAUUAAGUCAGAUGUGAAAGCCCCGGGCUUAACCUUGGAACUGCAUUUGAAACUGGUAAACUAGAGUAUGGUAGAGGAAAGUGGAAUUUCUGGUGUAGCGGUGAAAUGCGUAGAUAUCAGAAGGAACAUCAAUGGCGAAGGCAGCUUUCUGGACCAAUACUGACGCUGAGGUACGAAAGCGUGGGUAGCAAACAGGAUUAGAUA
rnacentral:rRNA from 1 species